CUAUGAUCGGACAGGAUAACCGCUGAAGGCAUCUAAGCGGGAAGCCCACCUCAAAACAAGGUAUCCCUGAGAGCCGUGGAAGACCACCACGUCGAUAGGCCGGAGAUGUAAGCGCAGUAAUGCGUUCAGUUGACCGGUACUAAUGGCUCGAUAGGCUUGAUUUGAUCCAG
rnacentral:rRNA from 1 species